ensembl:lncRNA
GCUCACCUGUGGACUCCACCAUGAUUGUUUGACUAUAAAAAGAGAAACUGUGUCUCUGCUGCUCCGAACUAUUCACACUUGAAUGAGAACAUGAAGUGACGCUGCAGUGGAUCUUCCCUCAUCCUUAAAGUGCAGCUGUGGAUAAUCUGUUGAAGAUCAGAAAAUCAUCACAGCCGAGUCUGGACAGAACAUCACGCUGCCGUGUCGAGCUCCAAAUGAGAACAAAACCAUCACAGUAGUAGAGUGGAGCAGAACUGAUCUGGAGUCAGAACAUGUGCUUUUGUACCGAGAUGAACAGUUUGAACCAGAAGAGCAGCAUCCAUCUUUUAAGAACCGGGUGGAUCUGCAGGACAGACAGAUGAAGGAUGGAGACGUGUCUCUGAUUCUGAAGAAUGUGACGACUGCUGAUAGUGGAACAUACGAGUGUCGAGUCUUCAUGGGAAAAAAACGACGCAGGAAAAGAGCUAAGCUGAAUACUGACCCCAUCAGUGUCAUCAGCCUGAGUGUUGUUGUUCCUCCAG